AUGCUUCGUGCACAAAUGCUGCUCAACGAUGAAAAAUAUUUUCAUCAACCCACAUCUUUAUCCUUCCCUCACCCACCUCCAUUCCUCAUGAAAAAAGGAAGUUUUAGCCCAAAGUCCAUCAAAGUUAUGAUUAUGAGAAGUGAAUCGGAGGCCUCUGCCACAAACAUACUCCGCCAGAUCAUCAGUCAGGCCAACAUACAUCCAAGCUUGAUACCUGUUUUUAUAUUUGUUGGAGCUGGAGGUACGAGAGCAGCACUGUAUCUCUUGUGUUUGGCAUUAUUCAAUCUAGAUGUUAGUUGGGACAGAAAGAAUAACCCAGAGCCCUGGAACAAACUGGGUCCCAAUGAUCAAUACAAGUUCUACUCAGUGAAUGUGGAUUACAGCAUACUGGAGAAAGAAGGUCCAGAUUUCUAAAUGAAAUGUUUCACUAUAAAGCUACUUUAGAAUGAAGGUCUUCCAGAAGCCAUCUGCACCAUUUUCCACUUAAUCAGGAAAUAUUUCUCCUCUAAAUGCAUGAAAUCAUGUUGAUGCAAUCUACUGGAGAUUACACUGAUUAAUAAAGAACUGAAACUUG